UUGGAGGGCAAGUCUGGUGCCAGCAGCCGCGGUAAUUCCAGCUCCAAUAGCGUAUAUUAAAGUUGUUGCAGUUAAAAAGCUCGUAGUUGAAUUUCGGGAUCAGUAGGUCGGUCAUGCCUAUGGUAUGUACUGGCUUUACUGGUUCCUCCUUCUUGAUGAUCUGUAAUGUCAUUAAUUUGGUGUUGCAGGGAGUCAGGACUGUUACUUUGAAAAAAUUAGAGUGUUUAAAGCAGGCAUACGCUUGAAUACAUUAGCAUGGAAUAAUGAAAUAGGACGUUCGAUCCUAUUUUGUUGGUUUCUAGGAUUGACGUAAUGAUUAAUAGGGAUAGUUGGGGGCAUUAGUAUUCAAUUGUCAGAGGUGAAAUUCUUGGAUUUAUUGAAGACUAACUACUGCGAAAGCAUUUGCCAAGGAUGUUUUCAUUAAUCAAGAACGAAAGUUAGGGGAUCGAAGACGAUCAGAUACCGUCGUAGUCUUAACCAUAAACUAUGCCGACUAGAGAUCGGAUGAUGUUAUUUUUAAUGACUCAUUCGGCACCUUACGGGAAAC
rnacentral:rRNA from 1 species